CUGCACCGCGGGCAGGUAAUUUGGACGAGGGGAAGGGAAUGGGAAAAAAAAAAAGAAAACUGCCCCGGCCCAGGCUGGAUUUCUGCCAUGAUGUCAGGAGGGAAGCAACCCACAGCUUGGUAAUUUCACCUCCUAAUCAGCCCCAGGAAGCAGAUCACCGGGAAAAGUUGUUUCCCCCUGUGGUCAUGACGGCUUCGCAAAGUGACUCUUUGGUGGUGUUGUUUGGGGCAACCGCUGGUGCAUAUGGGGCUAAACUGGGUUCGGAUGAGAGGGAGCUAAUUCUGUUGGUGUGGCAAGUUGUGGACCUACACAGCAAGAAGGUAGGGACUCUACAUAAAUCCCUGGUGAAAGCAGACAAUCUGGAUUUAAGUGACCAGUGUCGUGAAGUGAGUGGCUUAACACCAGAGGGACUGGACAAAGCCGAACCACUGGACCGGGUUCUUCAGCAGUUUUGUCAGCUGGUAUCCAGUGAUUUGAAAGUACUUGGAAAGAGCAGUUACACACUCUGCAGUGAUGGCCAGUUACUCAUUCGACAAGUCCUCCACCCAGAAGCUUCUAAGAAGAAUUUUGUGCUGUCUGACUGCUUCUAUUCCUUUUAUGAUCUGCGCAAAGAAUUUCACACUUGCUACCCUAGUUCAGCCGCCGUGAAAGAUCAGACUAUCAAGACCAUGGCAGAAUAUCUAGGCUUGGGAACGGAUGAAGCAGAGGAAGACUUUGGUGUGUGGCAAGUGAAAACCAUGGUGGCUAUAAUUUUCACCAUGCUCUCUGAAAGCUGUAGUCACUUAUUUACUGAGCCUGAAAAUGUGAAACACAAGUAUGAAACAGGUCCUUGUAGUAAAUCUGAAACGGUGAGCAGUGAGACAGUAAUACGUGCCAGGGGUUUGCCAUGGCAGUCUUCAGACCAAGAUAUUGCUAGGUUUUUCAAAGGACUCAACAUUGCCAAAGGUGGUGUGGCUCUUUGCCUGAAUGCUCAAGGAAGGAGAAAUGGGGAGGCAUUAGUUCGAUUUGUCAAUUCUGAGCAAAGAGAUCUCGCACUGGAAAGACAUAAGCAUCACAUGGGUAGCAGAUACAUUGAGGUUUACAAAGCAACUGGGGAAGAAUUCUUAAGAAUUGCAGGAGGCACCUCCAAUGAAGUGGCCCAGUUCUUAUCUAAGGAGAAUCAAGUUAUCAUCCGGAUGAGAGGCCUUCCCUUCACCGCUACUCAGGAGGAUGUCUUAGGGUUCCUGGGGUCAGAGUGUCCAGUCACAGGAGGGAAGGAGGGACUUCUCUUUGUUAAAUACCCAGAUGGCAGGCCCACAGGAGAUGCAUUUGUGUUAUUUUCCUGUGAAGAAUAUGCACAGAAUGCACUUAAAAAGCACAAAGAAAUACUUGGAAAACGUUACAUUGAACUCUUCAGAAGCACAGCAGCAGAAGUCCAACAGGUACUUAAUCGAUAUAUGUCAACACCUCUUAUUCCCACUCUCCCAGCUCCUAUCAUUCCUGUCAUACCCUCCCCAUACACCAUUGCCACGGGUAGCAUACGUGACUGUGUUCGCCUCAGAGGCCUUCCCUACACUGCUGGUGUUGAUGACAUCCUGGAAUUCAUGGGAGAUGCCACAGGGGAUAUCAAGCCCCAUGGAAUUCAUAUGGUCUUCAAUCAGCAGGGACGACCAUCAGGUGAUGCUUUUAUCCAAAUGAAAUCUGCUGAUAAAGCCUAUACGGUAGCUCAAAAAUGUCACAAAAAAAUGAUGAAGGACCGUUAUGUGGAAGUAUUCCAGUGUUCAGGAGAGGAGAUGAACUUUGUUUUAAUGGGUGGAACUUUAAAUCGUAGUGGCUUAUCCCCACCGCCAUGUAAGUUACCAUGUCUCUCUCCACCAGCCUAUGCUACUUUCCAGGCAGCAGCUGUGAUCCCAGCAGAGGCAGCGAUUUAUCAGCCACAAGCCCUUUUGCCAGCCACCAGGACUCCCCAAGCCUCUGCAGCUGCUCCUCAAACUGUUACCUACUACCCAGCUCAGGCUGCUCAGCUUUAUAUGAAUUAUACUACUUACUAUCCCAGUCCUCCAGUAUCCCCCACCACGGUGGGGUAUCUUACAGCUCCUCCGGGAGCUGUAGCUGCUGCUGCCACUGCCACCCACACUCCGAUUCUGCCCCAGCCUGGAGCGUUAGUCCGUAUGCAGGGCUUGCCAUAUAACACAGGAAUAAAGGAGAUACUCAGUUUCUUCCAGGGGUACCAGUGGAGAAGCCUAUUUUCUGAAUUGAAAUUCACCCAGAACUGUAAGUGCACCAUUGAAAAAUGUGACCUUGAACCUCCUUGCAUGGAACAGAAGAUGUUGUCCAAAUGAGAUCGGGUUCAGUAUCUUAGAAAGGAGCCAAGGAAUUAUUUUGCAUUGUUCUUGGAAUCCCGCAUGUGGAUUUAUUGCAUGAUGUUCCUGCUCGUUUAUAAAGAGACUCUGUAUCACAGAAAUAGAAAAGAAAGACAGCAUGUAUGCACCUGAUGACUACAAUGGCCUUAUUCAGCUGAGUGAUCAAGCAAGGAGUAUGUUACAAGCACCAAAAGAGUGGGUCUGUUUGUAACUCUUUGUAACUUCUGAAGAAGCUCCACCCAGAUUCCAGCUUCAUGCUUCAUAGCUUUAGUGGCGAGCCCAGAGGAGAGGCACUUGUGAAUUUUCCAAGUCUGGAUCUAGCUAUGAAAGCAGCGGCUGAGAAAAAAGGACAGCUUCUGGGAAGCCACUAUGUAGAACUGUUUCUGGUCUAAUUAAACACUUUUUUGGGGAUACAGAAAGAAUGUCAUACUAAACACUGUGCCUUUUUCAAAAUAAAUUUUCCCUAGCCACCCAGGCAGCAGCAAAUAUGCCUUUUCAGCAUAAUAGAGUGGGAGAUGUCCUGUGUUUAGUUAGAGAAAUGUCUUAUUCUAUGCUAAAGAUAAAGUGAAACAAAAAAUUAUGCAGUUAAUAUACUUAAUUCCUUAUAUGCUUGUGUGAAAAUAAGCAAACCCAUUCCUGGUAUCUAGUUAAUUCUGAAUACAAUCUAAUAGCACUUCAGCUAAGUGGAAAGUGAAGCUUGAAUCAUUCAGAUUCUUCUGUGUGUAGCUUUUGAGCUUACAUUUGACAAAGUGUCUGGGUUUUGUAGAGUUUAAAUGUCUCUAGAAAGUUCUUUUGGAGUGCAUAGCUUUCCCAGUUCGAAGCUUAGGUCAUACCGGUUUGUUCUUGACUGGAAAAUACCAGGAUGCUGAACCCCAAAUGCAAUUGUGCUUUUUUAAUGUUUCAAUUAGAUAUUGUUUUGCAAAAGCCAUAUUUGUCUUGCCAAUAUGCUGCUGUCAAUGUGUUAAGCAAAAAAAUUAACCCAGUAAAAGCAGGAAAGUCCUUCCUGCUCACCCAUAAAUCCCUGCCCCAGCCCCAGAAUUUUUGUCUCUACAGGAUGAAAAUGGCACAUAAACCUGAGUACUAAUAAGUUAUAUUUUUUAUUUAAGCAUAAUAGCUUUCAGAUACUGUAUUAAAUAUUUCUCUGUAGUUUAUGUGCAUGCAAUUUGUUUACAUCUUUACUUACUUUAUAUGUAUAUUAUGAAACAAGACAUGUUGACAUCUAAAUCCUGUAGUGCAUGCUUCUUUCUUUCUCUCUGUGUGUGUAUGUACAUUAGAUAGAAGUACUUUUUCUUGUCAUGUAGCAUGUGUUUAAGAAGAGACAUCUGCUGUAGAAGCACUAAAUUGCUUAAUUUUAACUGUGCCUUACUUCAAAACCAUUCCAAGUGCAAUACCAGCAGAGCAAAAUGUAAUGAAACCUAUUGUGACAUGUUCAUGGAUAUCUGGAUUGAUCUUACUGUUAGUGUACAAUUUGAGUUGCACUUAAUGGAAUGAUGUAUGUUUCUUUAUAUUACAACAAAUAAAGGAGAUUCUUAUGAUGCA